GUGAACGCUGGCGGUAGGCCUAACCCAUGCCAGUCGAACGGCAGCACCGUAAGAGCUUGCUCUUACGGGUGGCGAGUGGCGGACGGGUGAGGAAUACAUCGGAAUCUACUUUUUGUGGGGGAUAACGUAGGGGAACUUACGCUAAUACCCCAUACGACCUACGGGUGAAAGCAGGGGGUCUUCGGACCUUGCGCGAUUGAAUGAGCCGAUGUCGGAUUAGCUAGUUGGCGGGGUAAAGGCCCACCAAGGCGACGAUCCGUAGCUGGUCUGAGAGGAUGAUCAGCCACACUGGAACUGAGACACGGUCCAGACUCCUACGGGAGGCAGCAGUGGGGAAUAUUGGACAAUGGGCGCAAGCCUGAUCCAGCCAUACCGCGUGGGUGAAGAAGGCCUUUGGGUUGUAAAGCCCUUUUGUUGGGAAAGAAAAGCAGCAGGUUAAUACCCCGCUGUUCUGACGGUACCCAAAGAAUAAGCACCGGCUAACUUCGUG
rnacentral:rRNA from 1 species